rnacentral:rRNA from 1 species
CCUACGGGUGGCAGCAGUGAGGAAUAUUGGUCAAUGGCCGGAAGGCUGAACCAGCCAUGCCGCGUGAAGGUCAGUGCCCUAUGGGCGUUAAACUUCUUUUGUGCGGGAGCAAUAAUGGUCACGUGUGGCCAGACGAGAGUACCGUACGAAUAAGCAUCGGCUAACUCCGUGCCAGCAGCCGCGGUAAUACGGGGGAUGCAAGCGUUAUCCGGAGUUAUUGGGUUUAAAGGGGGCGUAGGCUGUGAGGUAAGUCAGCGGUGAAAUGCCCCCGCUCAACGGGGUGAAGUGCCAUUGAUACUGCCUGGCUGGAAUGCGGAUGCCGUGGGAGGAAUGUGUGGUGUAGCGGUGAAAUGCAUAGAUAUCACACAGAACACCGAUUGCGAAGGCAUCUCACGAAUCCGCGAUUGACGCUGAUGCACGAAAGCGUGGGUAUCAAACAGGAUUAGAUACCCUUGUAGUC